GUAAAUUUGUUUUCAAUUCUUCAAAUCAAUGAAUUUUAUCAAUAUUUUUUGACCUUCUUUUUUCAGGUCUGGCGUAACAGUGACACUUUUUUAACAUUUAGGAGCAAUCUUACAGAAUGAUGUUAAAAGUAAUAUGCUUGCUUGUCUUUGCUGUACAUCUCGUAUACGCAGAGGUAUUGUCCUGCUAUUCGUGCAAUGGUAUAACUAAUAUUGCGAGCUGCGAUACCAUUACAAAAUGCAAGGACGGCCAGGUACCUAUCCUUAUUCAUUGUUAUUUGUUUACUCCUGUCUUUACACGACUUUUGGUAAUGUCUGCGUGUUUAAAAUUGCUGAAUGUCGGUACUUUGUUGUUUUUAUCAAACAAUCUUUCAGUCUUGCUGAUGCUACAACUGAUAAUAAAAAAUGAACAUAAACACAAAGGAGGCCAAAUGAAAACAUAAAGAGGAAGAAAACGUAAACCAAAGUAACUAAUACAUGAAAAUGUUUUCAGUGUCGGCUUGAUUUGCAUUUUGCACUAUA